rnacentral:rRNA from 1 species
AGAGUUUGAUCCUGGCUCAGAGCGAACGCUGGCGGCAGGCCUAACACAUGCAAGUCGAGCGCCCGUAGCAAUACGGGAGCGGCAGACGGGAGAGUAACACGUGGGAACGUACCCUUCAGUUCGGAAUAACCCAGGGGAAACUUGGACUAAUACCGAAUACGUCCGUAAGGAGAAAGAUUUAUCGCUGAAGGAUCGGCCCGCGUCUGAUUAGCUUGUUGGUGAGGUAACGGCUCACCAAGGCUACGAUCAGUAGCUGGUCUGAGAGGAUGAUCAGCCUCACUGGGACUGAGACACGGCCCAGACUCCUACGGGGGGCAGCAGUGGGGAAUAUUGGACAAUGGGCGCAAGCCUGAUCCAGCCAUGCCGGCGUGGAUGAUGAACGCCCUAGGGUUGUAAAGUCCUUUCGGGCNGGGAAGAUAAUGACNGUACCGCAGAAGANGCCCCGGCUAACUUCGUGGCCAGCNGCCGGCUGNAAUACGAAGGGGGCUAGCGUUGCUCGGAAUCACUGGGCGUAAAGCGCACGUACGCGGCUUUUUUANGUCNGGGGGUGNAAUCCUGGGAUCUCAAUCUCCAGAAANUGUUGNUUGAUUACUGGAGGAGGCUNCNACUNCNGNGNAGAGGGUGANUUGGNNACNUGCNCAGNGUUCNUAGGGNGAAANUUGCNGGAGAUAUUCNGC